AGAGGAUGGCUUUUCCCACCAGUGAGCAAAGCUGAGAAAACUUGAAGCUGGACAUGCAUCACAAUUCCUUGUUUCAUCAUUGCGCCCUUAUGGGAAAAGGCUGGAUAUGUUGUACUCCUUACAUCAGAACCAUAAUCCAAGAAUGUAUUGUUCUUCUUUUAUCAGCUUGAUUCCUGGUGAUUCUACUCUGAAUACAAUGUUCCUUAUUUCAUUGGUGUCCUCCCAGUUGCUCUUCGGGAGACUCACGGAUUCCAGAUAUUGCCACUGUUUUCUUCCUAUCUUGCGCAUUAUUCUGGAGUUUCAAGUGUACAUUGUGGGCUCAUGCUCUCACUGCAGCUUUUUUUUUUUGCAAGCUGCUUUCUCAUGGAAUCUUUUCCUCAAGAACAGCAAAGUCAUGGCUAGGGUUAUUCCGUUGCUUAGAAACGGUAUUUUCAGCUACACUGAUGGUUAGUUUGAUUUGGCUGCCACCAAGCGGCUGAAGGCGACUUUCCGGUUCUGCAGUGAUUAACAUGAAUUAAAACGUUCCUUAAGAGGCAAUUCUUCAAAUUAAUCCAAGGAUAUGAUUGUCAUGUUAUCGAAGAAUAAUUUCUUAUCCGCUUUGCAGUGAUAACACCUUUUUUUUUUUUGCUUCAGAGAGCUGGAGCCAUGCUGGAUUUUAAUAGGACAUAUCCAAGGUGCUGAACCUAGUUUGGAAAUAAAAUUCAGCACCAUGGAGAGGUCCCAUUAAAAGCCAGAGCACCAGAAUUAAUAAUGUAGCUUUUGUCACAUUCUUGUCAUUUUCCUAAAUUACAGAGUACUAGAUAUACUUUUCCCUUUCUUUUAUACAGUAGAGUCUCACUUAUUCAAGUACAGUAGAGUCACACUUAUCCAACACUCAUUUAUCCAACGUUCUGGAUUAUCCAACGCAUUUUUGUAGUCAAUGUUUUCAAUAUAUCGUGAUAUUUUGGUGCUCAAUUCAUAAAUACAGUAAUUACAACAUAACAUUACUGCGUAUUGAACUACUUUUUCUGUCAAAUUUGUUGUAUAACAUGAUGUUUUGCUGCUUAAUUUGUCAAAUCAUAACCUAUUUUGAUGUUUAAUAGGCUUUGUCUUAAUCUCUCCUUAUUAUCCAACAUAUUCGCUUAUCCAAUAUUCUGCCAGCCCGUUUAUGUUGGAUAAGUGAGACUCUACUGUAUCGCUUAUCCAAGUUCUGGAUUAUCCAAUGCAUUUUUGUAGUCAAUGUUUUCAAUAUAUUGCAUUUAUUAUUUUACUCUAUUUAUUAUUCCAUGUAUUAUUUUCCUGUAUUUAUUAUUAUUACAUGUACAGUAGUCUCACUUUCCAACACUCGCUUAUCCAACAUUCUUGAUUAUCCAACGCAUUUUUGUAGUCAAUGUUUUCAAGGUUCUGCCGGCCCGUUUAGCUUGGAUAAGUGAGGCUCUACUGUAUUCUCUUCUGUGUCUUGUCUCAGGUAUUUUAAUAUGUCUGUUUUAAUACAUGCUUUUGUGGUUGCAUUUUAAUGUGAUUUUAUAGAUGUAUUCGAUAAUGUUGUGCCCUACCCUGAGCCAAGAAGAGAGGUAGGUAAUAAAUAUUAUUUUGAUGUGAUUGGGUUGGAUCUCCGUGACAAUAUGUCAUUUUCAUACAAAACUUAUGGCAUUGUUGACCCAUUGCACCUUGCUCAAGAAUGCACCAGUUUGAACUAAAUCCAGGUUUGCUUCCCCGCUGGUUUCUUCCAGGACCAUCUGUUCCAGUGCGCAUUCAUCGAUCCGAUGUGAUAGACCUGCAAGUUAUCUUUCCAUGCGCCAGAGAACAAGGCUGUAUUUAUGCCCAUUGGAUUAAACCAUUAUUUUCUUUUUUGGAAAUACUUUUAUGAUCAAUGUGUUGUCGAAGGCUUUCACGGCCGGAAUCACAGGGUUAUUGUAUGUUUUGUGGGCUGUAUGGCCAUGUUCCAGAAGUAUUCUCUCCUGACGUUUCGCCCACAUCUAUGGCAGGCUUCCUCAGAGGUUGUGAAGUAUAAUGCCUGCCAUAGAUGCGGGCGAAAUGUCAGGAGAGAAUACUUCUGGAACAUGGCCAUACAGCCUGGAAAACACACAACCCUCUUCUAUGAUCAUUGGCUUUUGAGUAGACAAGUCCAUUAUAACCUGACCCAUAUCCACAUUGAAACUUGCCUGGUCACUUUAUAGUUUGAUUUCUGUUCAGAUUUAUCUUCCCUGCUUGUUAUGUCUAUUUGAUGUAUGUUCUAUUCUGUAAUAGACACUCCCUUCAUCAGUUUGACUGUCGCCCAGACUGUUGUCCUAUAUUGGACCUUUUAACGCCUUGGAUGAUUGUUUAAUAUUUUCAUUAUGUCUAUUUUAAAUCAAGACUUGUUUAAUUUGUUUUGAAAUGCAUUCUUUGAUGUCUUAAUUGUUGAUUUUACGAUAUUAUAUGAUUGUAUUGGGCUUGCCCCCGUGUGAGCCGCUCCGAGUCCCCCUUGGGGAGAUGGAGGCGGCAUACAAAAAUAAAAUUAUUAUUAUUAUUACAGUAGAGUCUCACUUAUCCAACACUCACUUAGCCAACGUUCUGGAUUAUCCAACGCAUUUUUGUAGUCAAUGUUUUCAAAACAUCGUGAUAUUUUGGUGCUAAAUUCGUAAAUACAGUAAUUACUACAUAGCAUUACUGUGUAUUGAACUACUUUUUCUGUCAAAUUUGUAGUUAAACAUGAUGUUUUGGUGCUUAAUUUGUAAAAUCAUAACCUAAUUUGAUGUUUAAUAGGCUUUUCCUUAAUCCCUCCUUAUUAUUCAACAGCCCGGGCUGUGGUGCAGGCUGGAGAGCAAGCCAGCUGCAAUGAAUCAUUCUGACCAGGAGGUCAUGAGUUCAAGGCCCGCUCGGAGCCUGUGUUUGUCUUGUCUUUGUUCUAUGUUAAAAGGCAUUGAAUGUUUGCCUAUAUGUGUAAUGUGAUCCGCCCUGAGUCCUCUUCGGGGUGAGAAGGGCGGAAUAUAAAUGUUGUAAAUAAAUAAAUAUUCACUUAUCCAACGUUCUGCCGGCCUGUUUAUGUUGGAUAAGUGAGACUCUACUGUAUUAUUAUUAUGGAUGAAGCUGGUCCAUAAUACACAUAAUAUGUAUGUAUUGUUGGGAAAUAUGGUAAUGACAGCAUGUGCAAGCAGGCCAUUAUUUUCAUAGCAGCUCUUUAAUCUACAGUUGUUUACCUAUGCAGUGAAAUAUCUUACAGUCUAAUCCAAAUAUGUCUGUAUCACCACCUGUUUUCUGACCAGUGUUAAAAACCAUUUUCUCUCCCUGGAAAUUUCUCAUCUCUACUUUCUCAGGUCCUGCUGAGGGGUUAAUCUCUUUUAUCUCUUAGACGUAGGCUAUUCUAUCACUGUUUCCAUCUUCAUCUUAUUUCUGCCAGGACUACCUUGCUCCCUCCCCAUGGCUCCUCAAAUGGGUCAUCUGCUGGCACCUGUUGCCAUCCCAUUCCUACAUUCACUCACUCCCAGUGUACGCAGAAACACUUGCCAAGGAUACAGCACUGUGCCUCCGAUGAAGUGGGCUGCAGAUCAGCAAACAUGCUGUGCCUCUGAUGAAGUGGGCUUCUGUCCACAAAACCCAAUGCCAAAUGAAACUGGCAAGUCUUAAAAGCACCAGAACCAUCAUUGUUUGUUUUUCUCCCUGCAAUUGACCUUAUUCUUUCUAGGAUACAGUACAAGCAUCUUGCAUUCACUUUUAAAGCCCUGCAAGACCUAAAUAGGAUGUAGCUUUUACUAUCAUUUCUACUAUCUUGCUCAGGACCUAUAUCCUACCAAUUCCUGGCUUCUCAUUCAACCAAGGGUUCCCACUGUUUGGCUCAGCUUAGUCUUUUCUCCCCGCGGUUUGGAAUUGCCUCCGCAAACAUUUGUGGAUUGUUCCUUCCCAAUUUCAAACCGUAUUACAAAGCUUUUGGAGGUUUAGUUUAAAAUUGUUUCAUUAUCUUGUAUAUUAAGAUGGAGGGCCAGCAUGGAGCAAUGGUUUGAGCCUUGGACCAUGACUCUGAAGACCAGGGCUUGAGUCCUCACUCAGCCAGAAGGCAUUCAAUAUUUUGAGAUGGUUGGGAUACGAAGGGGCUAUUGGAGUUUACAUCUGCCUUACUCUUUCCUCCCCAUUUGUGUGCACAUGUGUAUUUCAGAUUGUACACAUUCUUGCUCUCUGCUUGUUUACUUGUAAAGCACUAUAUCCACCAAUGGUGCUCUAUAAAUAAAUGAUAAGGCUACCUUCUUUGAGGUCUCUGUUCCAAGUGGAAUGGACCGAGCGGUGAAGGAGAAACACACAUCAACAGGAACCAGACCUUGGAUUACAAGACAAAACAUUUAUUUACCGAACCAAAACACCAGGAGAAUGAGCCAUGGCCCGAGGUCUAGGAGCUGAUCCUGCCCCAGGUUCAGAAACAUAAUACUGAGCGGCUGCAUGCAGGAGCCUCCAUGCUGAACAAAUACAGAGAAGCCAAAACAAGCAAGCGUUCACAGUCCGGAGAGUUUAGAUCCCACUGUUAAAACUAUGUGGCCCAGGAAAACACCUCUUUUCUAGCAAACAGUGGCCGAUUCAAAGGGAAUCCCUUCUCCCCGCUCUUGUUGUUGCCCCUUCUUGCACCCUUCCUGCACAGGGCCACCUACCACUAACCGCCCAGUUGGAAGGGGAAGGCCAAUUGGGGAGAAAGGCCUCAGUGAGGCCUCCUUCGUCUAGACUGUCCUUCCCCUUCCCCGCCGUUUUUUUUUAUUGGUUUUAUUUCUAUUUAAAUAG